rnacentral:rRNA from 1 species
GACGAACGCUGGCGGCGUGCCUAAUACAUGCAAGUAGGACGCAGUUGCGAACGGGUGAGUAACGCGUAGGUAACUGCCUAUUAGAGGGGGAUAACUAUUGGAAACGAUAGCUAAUACCGCAUACUAGUAGAUGGACCUGCGUUGUAUUAGCUAGUAGGUAGGGUAAUGGCCUACCUAGGCGACGAUGCAUAGCCGACCUGAGAGGGGGAUUGGGCCAACUGGGACGGAGGCAACGGCCCGAAUCCUACGGGGGGGCACCAGAGGGGAUCUUUGGGAAUGGGGGGAACCCUGAACGGGCAACGCCGCGUGAGUGAAGAAGGUUUUCGGAUCGUAAAGCUCUGUUGGUAAGGAAGCGGUACUUAACCAGAAAGGGACGGCUAACUACGUGCCAGCAGCCGCGGUAAUUC